CCUACGGGAGGCAGCAGUGAGGAAUAUUGGUCAAUGGGCGCGAGCCUGAACCAGCCAAGUCGCGUGAGGGAAGACGGUCCUAUGGAUUGUAAACCUCUUUUGUCGGGGAGCAAAAGACGCCACGCGUGGCGUUCCGAGAGUACCCGAAGAAAAAGCAUCGGCUAACUCCGUGCCAGCAGCCGCGGUAAUACGGAGGAUGCGAGCGUUAUCCGGAUUUAUUGGGUUUAAAGGGUGCGUAGGUGGUUAAUUAAGUCAGCGGUGAAAGUUUGUGGCUCAACCAUAAAAUUGCCGUUGAAACUGGUUGACUUGAGUAUAUUUGAGGUAGGCGGAAUGCGUGGUGUAGCGGUGAAAUGCAUAGAUAUCACGCAGAACUCCGAUUGCGAAGGCAGCUUACUAAACUAUAACUGACACUGAAGCACGAAAGCGUGGGGAUCAAACAGGAUUAGAUACCCCAGUAGUC
rnacentral:rRNA from 1 species